GACGAACGCUGGCGGCGUGCCUAAUACAUGCAAGUAGAACGCACAGUUUAUACCGUAGCUUGCUACACCAUAGACUGUGAGUUGCGUACGAGUGAGUUACGCGUAGGUAACCUGCCUGGUAGCGGGGGAUAACUAUUGGUAACGCUAGCUAAUACCGCAUAAUACUGAUUAUUGCAUGAUAAUUGAUUGAAAGAUGCUAUUGACUCACUACCAGAUGGCCCUGCGUUGUAUUAGCUAGUAGGUGAGGUAACGGCGCACCUAGGCGACGAUACAUAGCCGACCUGAGAUGAGGGGCGGCCACACUGGGACGGAGACACGGCCCAGACGCAUACGGGAGCGAGCCGGAGUGAUACUGGGGCAAUGAGCGAAAGUCUUAGCGAGCAACGCCGCGGGAGGGAGGAAGGUUGUCGGGUCGUGGAGCUCGGUUGUAAGAGAGUAACGGGUGUGAGAGUGGAAAGUUCACACUGUGACGGUAACUUACCAGGAAGGAACGGCUAACUACGUG
rnacentral:rRNA from 1 species